rnacentral:tRNA from 1 species
GGGGGCGUGGCGGAACUGGCAUACGCAGCGGACUUAAAAUCCGCCGCCGCAAGGCUUAAGGGUUCGAACCCCUUCGCCCCUACCA